rnacentral:misc_RNA from 1 species
UAAGCAUUCAAUGGCGAAACAAGCCAGAAAUGUAAAAUGAGAAAGAGAAGAAAGCACAUGGAAGGACUAAAAAGGUUAAAAGCAACCAAGUAGCCGUCCACAAGACAUGCUUUAGCCUAAAGAGUUGGACCAAAAAUAGUUUCUUUCCCUAACCAUGUCUAGUUAUUUCAUCAUUCUCACUGUAUCAAUGUUACUUGCUUGGAUGUUUCCAGAUUCUAUACCCAAAACCAAAAAGCACAGUACCUCCAGACUCCACUUACAAAUACAAUACAGCUCCUCACCAUUCAAACCCAAGACAGAGCACUUGAGCUUCUAUAUCAGUUAGAGAAAAAGCAAGAAUUCAAACAUUCAUGGGUGACAACAAGAGGAACAACAAGUCUGUUCUUAAGUUAUUCAAGGGCAAGGCUCGGAAACCUCUGAGAGAAGAAGAUAGUUCUAGCCAUGGUAGGAGGUCACAGAAGGUGCUGCCUAGCGAUGAAGAUGAAAGUCCUUGGACUGCUGAUCCUCGCAUCAAUGAUAAAACUUCAGCCUUUAUAGCUCGUAUCCAAGCAACUCACUUCUUAGCGUCCUGAUUCAAAAAAUUAGGCUGGAAAAGCCUUUCAUGCGUGACUUGUGUGUGUUGGGUUCAUAUUUUUGUUUAAAGUUGACAGCAGCCUGCAUAUUUAAGUAACAUAGGAACUUGUUGAUUACUUGAUUAGCCUAUUUUCUCAUAUAGACUCUCUCUCUUUAUGUACUUAUGCCUUACUGCAAUACUGCCAAUGCCUCAAUUUUAUCACUUUGAAGCUAUCAUUCUGUUAUUGGGCUAGACUGAAGAUUUCUUGUGUAUAUUACCAUUUCCAAAUUUGCUUGUUGCUCAGUAUUUUCUACUCCAAAAAAAGGAAGAAAUUUAAGGUAACCAUUAAAAGAAAAAGGCCUUUGUAGUUUUACCACCAUGAAUAAUGCCUGGUUGAAAUUUGAUAUCUACCGUUGAAAAUAUUUUCAUAUUCAUAGAACGAGUUCUAUGAAUCUGCUGAAGACAGUGCUGUCAGACGAAUGCCAGGAAAACUUUCUUUGAACGCCAUCUAAUAUACAGGUUCAUCAUCAUUGCCAUCAUCAUCGUUAUAAUCAUCAUCAUCAUCAUCAAAAUCAACGUUCUGAUUAUAGUCAUCAUCACUGAAAUCUUCCUCAGCUUCAUCUACUUCUUCAUCUUGAUCUUCUUCCUCAUCUUCACCUUCUUUCUUUUCCUUUUGAUCUUUCUCUUCUCGUCCCUGAUACUUCUGUUCAAGCUUCUCAAACAGAUCGAACUUUUGCAGGUCUGAGUCUGGGUUCCAUCGAACUUUUUUGGGAUUUGGCUGCUCUGUCUUUACACCUUGAAUAAGUUCUGCAGGAAAAUGCAUAGGUGUGAGCAAUAGAAAAUUGUUAAGUUUAUCACGUUUUGAUGUGGACUUUGACUUUCCCCAAUCAGAAAAUCUUUCUAUGUCAAUGCUCUGGCUCUUCUUUGAAACAGUCUCAUCAAGAUAAUAAGCAGAGCUUUUCCAAAAAUUUUGUAACUUUGCAUUCCCAACAACUAAGGCCCUUUCCUCCUUCACAGCUUUGUGAUCUGGUAAUUCAAUUUCAGGAAACUCCACAAAAGGCUCUUGCUUUAUAUAGCCGAAUCCACCACCUCCUCCUCCAAAUCGCCCUCUCCCUCGACCUCGCCCCCGCCAAGCCAUCUUUAGAGAUGUUUCUUUCCUUUCUUUCGCUGCCUUCUCUGCUAAAGACACCGCUCGCUCGAGUGAAUGUGGAGGUUUUGCGAGCUUUCACUUUUCGCAGUUAAGCUUGUAUUACAAGAGGAAGCGACGGUAGCGGAUGAAAUUUUAGUGUAGGCUUAAAAUGGGAUGGAAAUAGGGGUGUACAAUCCGUCGGUUAGGUUCAGAACCGUACUAACCGGAAACCGAAGUGCAAAAUUGUAGAAAUCGAAUCGAAUUAAGAGAAAAAAAAAAAAAUUCAAAUCGAACCAAAAGAAUUUUCAGUUCGGCUUGGUUGAAGCAGUUCAAACCCAAGCCACACAACUCAAAUGAAUCAACGCUACAAAAUCAAAUGAAAUUCAUCUAUAACACUACAAAAACAAAUAAUACGAGAAGAUAAUGAGCAGAGACAAUGAGCUCGAUAUGGGUCGGGGUGGGCGCGAGACGGCUAGAGGGAGCAGAGGAGGCCCAACAGCACAUGCAGCUCUCGGUGACGUCGUGGGUUGGGUGGAGAGAAGAAAAUAAGGGGGGAGAAGAGAUGAGAGUAGGGAUUCGAGAAUGGAGAUAAUGGAAGGCAGGGACAGGGAGGGUGGCGUCAGCGCAGAUGGGAGUGGGACUUGAGAGAGCUGAGCGCUCC